UCACCGCCCCAUUCCCUCUACACUCUACCUCGCUCCCUUCCCCCCACGCUGCCCCUCUUCCCUACCCUCCUCUCCCCCACCUCUCCCCCACCGCACCUGCUCCUUCACUCUGUCUCUUCUCCCUUUACCCGACCUGCCUCCUCCCCAACCCCUUCUCCCACCUUGAUCUCUCGCCACUGUCUUUCCCUUUGUCCCAGCUCCCCUCACCCCUGCUUAUCUCCUCACCCUAGCCCCCCUCCUCUUGUCCAGUGGUGGGACCUGGGGACUUCUGUAGCACGACCAGACGGGGUGCACUCUGGUACUCUCGAGGAGGGUGGAGACUAAAGCCAACAGCCAGGAGUCCACAUGUUUGGGGCUCAGCUGGAAGACCUGAAGGCUGGGGCCUGGAAUCAUCGGGAGGCUCACCUGCUCAUGCCUGGUGGCUAUUCUGGCUGUGCCUGGGGACCUCUUUGCCACUCCACAAAGGCCUACUCCAUUUGGUCUCCCAUAUCGGAACCAGCAGUGCGCGUCUCCCAGAAUCUGAGGAGGCAUAACCCCUAACAUCUAGUUAACACGUGGCCCAGAAGGAUGGUCAAUGGGGAACAACUUCCUGAUGGUCAGAGGUGGGCCUAAGUGCAGUCAUGCACUGACAAACAGAAGAGGAGGAGGCAGUGUGACAAUGGAGGGAGGAUUGGAAUGAGGCAGCUACAAGUCAAGGAAUGCUGACAGCCACCAGAAGCUGGAACAGGCAAAGAGCAGUUUAUCCCGUAGAGCUUCCAGAAGGGCUGUGACUUUGCCAAUACCCUCAUUGGGACCUCUGGCCUCCAGAGUUGU